rnacentral:sRNA from 1 species
AAAAGUUCAAAAAAAAACCAAAAAACCAAUCUCGGUUUUCGUCAUUGU